rnacentral:pre_miRNA from 1 species
UGGGAUUGCUUAUUCUAUACUUACACUCCCUUUUUUGUUAUAGUAAAAAGUAUUUUUAAAAAAUAAAAUAGAGCUUAAGUGGACAAAAGGGGAGUGGAGAAAUCAAC